UCCCGUAUGAAAGCAUCGUGGUGACCCGAGC
rnacentral:piRNA from 1 species